CCGCCCUUUUUCUCAACAAAAAAGAAUCCUGCACCAGCUGGUGAGGAUGACUUUCUUAUGUGCCCUUUGCUCAAGGAUUCUUUGAUGUAUUCCUCCAUUAUUUUACUCUCCUGGGUAGAUAAGGCAUAAACUGCCCCCUUAGGUGGCAUAGCACCUGGAAACAGGUUAAUGGCACAGUCAUAUGCUCUGUGGGGAGGCAAUACAUCAGAUUGAGCCUUGUUAAACACCUCCUGAAGUUCUCGGUAUUGUAUGGGAACUCCAGGAGUUUGGGG